rnacentral:rRNA from 1 species
UACGAAGGGUGCAAACGUUGCUCGGAAUUAUUGGGCGUAAAGCGCACGUAGGCGGUAUUGCAAGUCGGAUGUGAAAUCCCUCGGCUUAACCAAGGAAGUGCAUCCGAAACUGCCGUACUUGAGUACUUAAGAGGAUCGCGGAAUUCCCGGUGUAGAGGUGAAAUUCGUAGAUAUCGGGAGGAACACCGGUGGCGAAGGCGGCGACCUGGGUAGAUACUGACGCUGAGGUGCGAAAGCGUGGGGAGCAAACAGG